rnacentral:lncRNA from 1 species
CUUUUGAACCUGAAGAAUAGAAUGCUGUUUAAGCCACACAGACUAGGCUUAUUUGUUAUAGCAGCCUCAACUGACUACGACAAAAGUAAAAGAAAAAAUCAAGAAAGUGGUUGAGAGAGAACCAGAGACCAAGGACUGCAUCUCAAACUCUGAUCGGAUGACUCGGGGCCUCCUUCCAGGUCACACGCGCCUCCUUUAUUAAUGUGAUAGCUGCCACUGCACUUCUUUUUAGUGAAAUAUUUUGGGCCACUCAGUCAGUUGUUUGGGUUCAAUGAGAAAUUGAUGCCUCUUUAUUCAAAGCUCUGUCAGGAGCUUGGAAAACAUCAUGCUACUUUGAAAAAUGAGGGUUUUUUAAGAUUAAAAAAAAAGCCCUGAUGAUUUAAGAACUUCUCU